UUCGUCCAGAUCCUGCAUUUCACCAACUUCCCCAGCGCUGCCAGCUUGCAGGUCUCGCGCGCGCACUUAAAACCGUGUUUUUGUAACCGACGAGGACACGAUGAGAAAAGGAUGCCCGCCUCUGCUUGGGAAAGAGUCUUUGGCAGCAACACGGUUAAGCCCAACUGUUGGAACAACUUUCACAGAAGAUGAACAUUGUUCGGAGGUUUUCUUGGCUCCAAGUCUGGUCUAACUUAAUAAUUCUUCCACUUGGCGGUGAUUCAUGGCUCCCCGGUGCAGGGGCAGGACUGGGCAAUCCAGGUGCAACCGUAAUUGUUGCUCUGAACAGAAACAUUUCCUUUAGACAAACGUUCCCAGAGGGGUUAUAAAUAGGAAAUGGACAUUACGGUGAAAAGUAAGCGUCCAAGGGUCUGCAUCUCGUGCAGCUCGCUUGGACGUUGAACUAUGAAGACUGCUACCCCCCUCCCCCUCCCCGCCCUUUCCUGCCAAGUGUUUCAGACCGACGAAAUAAGCACAUCAGUGUUCUCAGUCAUUAUUUUUCUUCAGUGGCACUUGGUUUUCUCGUGACAGUGGAAAGGGGACCGUGGAGAGGAGACUGCCUCAUUGCAGUUUAUCAAUGAAAAUCUAAUAUCGUCCAUAAGCAGAGAAGUGGAAAUCAAUACUUCAUUACCAAAUUAGACCAAGUAGUCUUCCUUCUGACGUGGUUGGAACCCCCUGGCAGAUCCGGAGACUUGAGGAGGAGAGUGAUGAUGGAUCAAAGAAAGAGGAAGAGACAGCCGAUCUUAAGGGGUGAAAGUGCCUUCCACUGUGAGGCAGGAUGAGGCCUCGGGUGGAGGGUUCACACGCACUCUAUUCGAGGCCCCCGUCUCUCCUCCCUGACAUGACAUGAACGUGACACUGGUUUUAGAGAGCCUUGUUUCACUUGGCACUUCCUCGAACCUGCUUGAGAUUUGAUCAACACCCUGACUUCUCUGGCUGGGUUUCUCUUAGGGCAGAGUUUGCUCUGGGAAGGGGAGCAAGGAGAAGGAAAAAGUACUUAUAUUAUAUUAUAGACCCCCUUCUUGGAAAUUCAUAAUACACAUUAGCACCUUAAAGGUUCUGAGAAGUCCUGCCACCAAAAACCAACCCAACGAAACACAAUGUGUCUUUAGUUAACCCAGUGCCGCCUAGAUUUGUUUGAUGACUCUUUUCUUCCCCACAAAACUCUCACAGAUAGGCUUGAGUGUUAAUUUCCUGGAAAAUAGCUUCAUGACAUAGCUUGUGUAAAAGCAAAGAAGUCGCUCAGCUCCUAGGAUCUCAGUCCUGACCUCAUUAUUGACUUUCUGUGGUUCUUUGCUCAGGUUCCUUGGCUCUUUGGGGCCCUCAGCAUCAAAGGAGCCUGUUGUAGUGAUAACUUGACAUUCCCUGCGUUCCUUCUAUGCUACUCACGCUAAACCCAUGCCUCCCCACACGUCAGCGUCAUGAUGCUGCAAUGCGGGAGGGAAUACGUGUCUACACUUAACAGCCUGUGAGAUGGAAAUUUAGAGAGGUGAAACCGUUCAGCCUGCGGUCACCUGGCUGAUCUCCUUCCAUUCCACCACGAUGGACUGAAGUGAUGGAUUCUUCUGGAAGGUCAGUGUUCCUGUCCUAAAAGAGAAUGGUAAAGAAGAGAACUGAAUCUUGGGCCACUUUGGGACGAUGUAUCUUUUCUUACGAUUUCUUAUCUUAGAAGAAGGAGAAGCACUUUAGUUUUCUGUAGGUCUGAAGAUGAGACCCGGCCAGAAAAUCAACACUAGAAAAUGCAGGGAAUGAAAGCUACUGGUUUUACUUCUCACUGUUCAGAAUGAGGUGUGUAGAAUAAUUUCGCUUGCGUUUCCGCUGGUUGUCGAGGGCACGCUUUGCGGCUGCGUGGGUUCCCCGCCCCCCCUCUAAUACAUGAAGCUACUACUAUAAAAAUAAAACAGAAAUAAAUAAAAUUUUUAAUUACAUAUCUAAAAAGUCAUUGGCAGUGUUCAUUAAGGAGAGUUUGUGAGGGAGAGCCAGGCGAAGAGAUGUAAUUA